UUAACCCGUGAUUGCUGGGGCUGGCUCUCGCUCCUCCAGGGGCCGUCGUUCUUUUACAAAGAGGGGUGGAGGUUGUUGUUGCCUUUUUUUUUUUUUUUUUAAAUGAAUGGAGGGCGGCGGCGACUGCUGCAGCUGGCUCAGCUGCGCGGGCUGUACCCCCUCCCAGCCUGCGAAAGGAGGGAAAGGGAGGAACAUGGGUUCUGUGAGCGCCUUCCUAUUGGGCAGGAUCAUGAGGAAAUAGCCCAGUGACCUCUUUCUUCUAUUUUGAAGUGAGGAAGACGGUGGUCAUGCUGCAGAUUGGAAGCUAGUGGAGGACCUGCACCAACAAAACAGAAGAGUAAAUCGAGAGAGUAAACACCAUGAGAGUAACUACAUGGAGCUCAGGUAUAAUCACUGCUCCAGUGACACCUGCAUUAACGAGGGGGAAAAGAAAAAGGAUCUCCUAACAGGUGGAGAAAGAGGCCCUCUGAUUAGUGAAAGGUA